rnacentral:rRNA from 1 species
CAGGACGAACGCUGGCGGCGUGCUUAACACAUGCAAGUCGAACGGAAAGGCCCUGCUUUUGUGGGGUGCUCGAGUGGCGAACGGGUGAGUAACACGUGAGUAACCUGCCCUUGACUUUGGGAUAACUUCAGGAAACUGGGGCUAAUACCGGAUAGGAGCUCCUGCUGCAUGGUGGGGGUUGGAAAGUUUCGGCGGUUGGGGAUGGACUCGCGGCUUAUCAGCUUGUUGGUGGGGUAGUGGCUUACCAAGGCUUUGACGGGUAGCCGGCCUGAGAGGGUGACCGGCCACAUUGGGACUGAGAUACGGCCCAGACUCCUACGGGAGGCAGCAGUGGGGAAUAUUGCACAAUGGGCGGAAGCCUGAUGCAGCAACGCCGCGUGCGGGAUGACGGCCUUCGGGUUGUAAACCGCUUUCGCCUGUGACGAAGCGUGAGUGACGGUAAUGGGUAAAGAAGCA